GCGGGAUUACUGUAGUUCGGAUAAUCAGAACCGCCUUCCAAGUGGUUAGACGAGGGUUCAAAUCCAUCAUCUCGCA
rnacentral:tRNA from 1 species